CCUACGGGUGGCAGCAGUGGGGAAUAUUGGACAAUGGGCGAAAGCCUGAUCCAGCCAUGCCGCGUGUGUGAAGAAGGCCUUCGGGUUGUAAAGCACUUUCAGUGGGGAAGAAAGCCUUGGGGCUAAUACCCUCGAGGAAGGACAUCACCCACAGAAGAAGCACCGGCUAACUCCGUGCCAGCAGCCGCGGUAAUACGGAGGGUGCGAGCGUUAAUCGGAAUUACUGGGCGUAAAGCGCGCGUAGGCGGUCUGAUAAGCCGGUUGUGAAAGCCCCGGGCUCAACCUGGGAACGGCAUCCGGAACUGUCAGGCUAGAGUGCAGGAGAGGAAGGUAGAAUUCCCGGUGUAGCGGUGAAAUGCGUAGAGAUCGGGAGGAAUACCAGUGGCGAAGGCAGCCUUCUGGACUGACACUGACGCUGAGGUGCGAAAGCGUGGGUAGCAAACAGGAUUAGAUACCCGAGUAGUC
rnacentral:rRNA from 1 species